GAGGGUAUACCUCAGUGGUAGAGCUCAUGCUUAGCAUGCACGAAGUCCUGGGUUCAAUCCCCAGCACCUCCA
rnacentral:tRNA from 1 species